rnacentral:rRNA from 1 species
UAAUACCGCAUACGCCCGAGAGGGGAAAGUGGGGGACCGCAAGGCCUCACGCGAUUGGGUUGGCCGAUGUCCGAUUAGCUAGUUGGCGGGGUAAGAGCCCACCAAGGCGAUGAUCGGUAGCUGGUCUGAGAGGAUGAUCAGCCACACUGGGACUGAGACACGGCCCAGACUCCUACGGGAGGCAGCAGUGGGGAAUUUUGGACAAUGGGGGCAACCCUGAUCCAGCCAUUCCGCGUGAGUGAAGAAGGCCUUCGGGUUGUAAAGCUCUUUUGUCCGGAACGAAACGGUUGGCGUGAAUAUCGCCGACUACUGACGGUACCGGAAGAAUAAGCACCGGCUAACUACGUGCCAGCAGCCGCGGUAAUACGUAGGGUGCGAGCGUUAAUCGGAAUUACUGGGCGUAAAGCGUGCGCAGGCGGUUUUGUAAGCCAGAUGUGAAAUCCCCGGGCUCAACCUGGGAAUGGCAUUUGGGACUGCAAGGCUGGAGUGUGGCAGAGGAGACUGGAAUUCCCGGUGUAGCAGUGAAAUGCGUAGAUAUCGGGAGGAAUACCGAUGGCGAAGGCAGGUCUCUGGGCUCACACCGACGCUCAUGCAGGAAAGCCCAGGAGCAAACAGGAUUAGAACCUCAGCAU